ACGGAGGGUGCAAGCGUUAUUCGGAUUUAUUGGGCGUAAAGGGCGCGUAGGCGGUCUCUUAAGUCAGAUGUGAAAGCCCGAGGCUUAACCUCGGAAGUGCAUUUGAAACUGAGGGACUUGAGUAUGGGAGAGGGAAGUGGAAUUCCUGGUGUAGCGGUGAAAUGCGUAGAUAUCAGGAGGAACACCGGUGGCGAAGGCGACUUCCUGGACCAAUACUGACGCUGAGGCGCGAAGGCGUGGGGAGCAAACAGG
rnacentral:rRNA from 1 species